UACGAAGGGGGGCUAGCGUUGUUCGGAUUUACUGGGCGUAAAGCGCACGUAGGCGGAUCGAUCAGUCAGGGGUGAAAUCCCAGGGCUCAACCCUGGAACUGCCUUUGAUACUGUCGAUCUGGAGUAUGGAAGAGGUGAGUGGAAUUCCGAGUGUAGAGGUGAAAUUCGUAGAUAUUCGGAAGAACACCAGUGGCGAAGGCGACUCACUGGACAUGUAUUGACGCUGAGGUGCGAAAGCGUGGGGAGCAAACAGG
rnacentral:rRNA from 1 species